rfam:Salmonella enterica subsp. enterica serovar Macclesfield str. S-1643 plasmid unnamed1, complete sequence.
CUGUAGCAGAAGCCACGCUCAGAAUUGACGUUAGAUCGCCGAUACAAGGAGUGCUAGCUCCCUGUAUCGACUGCCCAUAGAGUCCUUUAACGGAGGUUCCUAUGUGC